GCCUCCUCCCAUCUGGGUGAAGUGUACGGUCCCGCGCAAUCUCUUAGGAGCUACCAUGGACCGGGAGCUAUUGUCCGAUUCUGCGAAAGAGUACAACAGGAUGAAAGUCAAUAUCGAAAAACUUACUGAACAAUCUUCUGAGUUGGCCAUAUAUCAGAAAAAAAUGGUGGAACACAAUGCAGUACUUAAAAAUCUCAGCCAGAAUUUCAAUCAGGUAAUGUGAGGUCCAUCAAUUCCCACACAACAGACCUAAACAAGAAGACAUAACACACCCAGAGACUCUAGCCACCCUGCCAUACAUCAAAGACAUCUCAGAGAUGACAACCAGAUUACUCCAGCCCCUCUGCAUCAUGGUAGCCCACAAACCUACCAUCACACUGAAACAGCUCCUGAUGAAUUUAAAAGACUCCAUACCAACAACCAGCAGGAUAUAUACAAACCGUCUUAUACAAAAUACUCUGUAAGGCCUGACAUUCAACCCCGAACUCCAUUAAUAAACACAUAGAUUUACCCCAUUUACCAACCUCUCAGAAACAGAAUCGGAAAUGAUAUCACCCAC